CGAAUCGACAUCUCGAUGUGAUACAGCCUUUUCUAUUUUAGUUGGGAAAGAACGGCGAAGUCCAUCCGAAU
rnacentral:tRNA from 1 species